rnacentral:sRNA from 1 species
UUCUAUAGUACGGGACUAACAGAGGGCUGGAAUUUCCAGCAGAAGUUAGACAGGUGAAUCACACCCUGGGAUGUUCGAUCCAGUCUCUUGCUCUGUGGUUAAGUAUUAAGGGUAACGGAAACGUGAAUGUGUACUUAACGUCAAACCCUGUUUAACAGUCUCAAGGAUCACUUUACGUAUCUUCGAUAC